CGAGGCUUACCAUGCAAGUCGAGGGGUAACAGAUCUUCGGAUGCUGACGACCGGCGAACGGGUGAGUAACACGUAUGCAACUUACCCAUAACUCGGGAAUAGCCCAAAGAAAUUUGGAUUAAUACCCAAUAAUACAGGCGUACCGCAUGGUAUUCUUCGUUAAAGAAUAAUCGGUUAUGGAUAGGCAUGCGUUCUAUUAGGUAGUUGGUGAGGUAACGGCUCACCAAGCCGACGAUGGAUAGGGGAACUGAGAGGUUGUCCCCCCACACUGGUACUGAGACACGGACCAGACUCCUACGGGAGGCAGCAGUGAGGAAUAUUGGUCAAUGGACGAAAGUCUGAACCAGCCAAAUCGCGUGAAGGAAGAAGGUAUUAUGUAUCGUAAACUUCUUUUGUAAGAGAGUAAAGUGCACUACGUGUAGUGUAUUGCAAGUACCUUACGAAUAAGCAUCGGCUAAUUCCGUGCCAGCAGCCGCGGUAAUACGGAAGAUGCAAGUGUUAUCCGGAUUUAUUGGGUUUAAAGGGUGCGUAGGUGGUCUAAUAAGUCAGUGGUGAAAUCUCUUUGCUUAACAAGGAAAUUGCCAUUGAAACUGUUAGACUUGAGAAUGGACGAGGUAGGCGGAAUUCGUAGUGUAGCGGUGAAAUGCAUAGAUAUUACGAAGAACUCCAAUAGUGUAGACUGCUUACCAGACCAUAUCUGACACUAAGGCACGAAAGUGUGGGUAUCAAACAGGAUUAGAUACCCUGGUAGUCCACACAGUAAACGAUGAAUACUAACUGUUUGCGAUAUACAGCAAGUGGUCGAGCGAAAGCGUUAAGUAUUCCACCUGGGAAGUAUGCCGGCAACGGUGAAACUCAAGGAAUUGACGGGGGCGCGCCCAAGCGGAGGAACAUGUGGUUUAU
rnacentral:rRNA from 1 species